UGGGGAAUUUUGGACAAUGGGCGAAAGCCUGAUCCAGCAAUGCCGCGUGUGUGAAGAAGGCCUUCGGGUUGUAAAGCACUUUUGUCCGGAAAGAAAUCCUUGGCUCUAAUACAGUCGGGGGAUGACGGUACCGGAAGAAUAAGCACCGGCUAACUACGUGCCAGCAGCCGCGGUAAUACGUAGGGUGCAAGCGUUAAUCGGAAUUACUGGGCGUAAAGCGUGCGCAGGCGGUUUGCUAAGACCGAUGUGAAAUCCCCGGGCUCAACCUGGGAACUGCAUUGGUGACUGGCAGGCUAGAGUAUGGCAGAGGGGGGUAGAAUUCCACGUGUAGCAGUGAAAUGCGUAGAGAUGUGGAGGAAUACCGAUGGCGAAGGCAGCCCCCUGGGCCAAUACUGACGCUCAUGCACGAAAGCGCGGGGAGCAAACAGGAUUAGAUACCCUGGUAGUCCACGCCCUAAACGAUGUCAACUAGUUGUUGGGGAUUCAUUUCCUUAGUAACGUAGCUAACGCGCGAAGUUGACCGCCUGGGGAGUACGGUCGCAAGAUUAAAACUCAAAGGAAUUGACGGGGUCAUAGCUGUUUCCU
rnacentral:rRNA from 1 species